rnacentral:lncRNA from 1 species
AGCCGCUCCAGCGCCUCCAUUCUCUCUGCUUGCUUCUCCUCCCACCUCCUUCCAUCUCAGCCCACUGGCCUGACUUCUUCUCUUUCCAUUGCUCAUUCUUUCUUUCUUUCUUCGACUAACCCAUUCCUCUCCUACUAUAGGUGACUACUCUCAGGACUUGUCUAUCUCUCGACAUCUUCCAACACACCUCGAUUCCUCCAUUAAAUGGCAUCGCCAUUUCUAGCCAUUCAGGACUUGUCUAUCUCU